GGUUGAUGAAGUCAUUGACGUCCCUUACGGCAAGCUGAUGACCUGUUGAUCAUCAAGGGAAUGCGAGACACUUUUCUCUCAUGAGUCCGUCGCAAGCCUCUCCCCAGCAGGGCGCACUAAAUCCUCCAACGUCUCCUGAGUCGUUUCGUCCAAGACACCCAACUAGGCACCAAAACGGCCCCGCUGAUAGCGAUCCAUGAUGUCCAAUGCAUCAAUGAUGACUCCAGUGCUUACUUACGCUUCUUCGGCGGCUACUCUUUGUUGUAGGCAUGGGAGGGCUCGGAAAGGGGGCGGAGUUUGAGGCUCUGGAAGGGAGGGAGAUCUUGAACAGUCUGCUGUGCAUCGACGUCAAGCUUGAUGGGCUUGAAUCUAGCAACAUGGAACCAUUGCUGUGCCAGUUGCUGGAAAGGGCAAACAUGCCCAGAGAACUCAACAAAUUGAUGAGAAUGAGGUUGAUCACAGUGUCAACAAGGAGUGUGAAAAACUGGACAAGAGACUUGGAGAGGGGGCCAAGGUGAGCUUGCCGACACCCAAGAUUUGCAGAGGGCAGAACUGGACUUGGCUGUUUUGGGCAGAGAUGUAACCAGAUCAGUCACGUUGAAUAGAUUUGAGACUGAAUGACUCUUGGCUGACUUGUGAUGACUUGUGACUGAUUUUGUAAACAGUUCGGCUUAAGGCUCGACUAUAGGUAGUCUUGUAUUUUCCAGUUAAACAUUUAUUUGCGGUAAUUUUUCUUGGUCAUAUGCGAGACCUGUCGAUGCAAACUUGCAAUUUACACAUUCAUUUUGAAACAAUACACCCAAGAAGUCUGACAUCAUGCAAGUCGUCUAAGUGGUAAGUCUAAACAAUGUCUUGUUCGCCACUUUUACCUUCGGAUUUGCACAGGCAUAAGUUGAACAUGUUUUGAUAAAAAGUAAAUGCUAACCCCUUACCGUAUUGAAAUUUUGAUAAAAAUUUAUGUUCGUGCUAUUUUUUGAUAAAAACUACCAUAAAAACUAAGUUUGUUUUUGCCCCUUCUUGAUAAAAAUGUAAGGCUAGCCCCUUACCGUUUUGAUGAUGAAAAUUUGUUUUUGCCCCUUUUUGAUAAAAAUGCGAGGCUAAUCCUUUACAGUUUUGAAUUUCUGAUGAAAAGUUAAACUUUUGACCAGUUAUGAUAAAAAUUCAAGUCUAACCACGAACCGGUUUGAAUAUGUGAUAAAUAAUUCUUUUUGUCCCUUUUUGAUAAAAAUGAAAGGCUAAUCCGCUACCCGCUUUGAAUUUGUGAUAAAAAAAAUUUUGCCCUGUUUUGAAAAAAAAUG